rnacentral:rRNA from 1 species
CCCUUAGAUGUUCUGGGCCGCACGCGCGCUACAAUGGUCUUCGCAAACGGAUGCAUUCUCGAAGGAGAAUGCCAAUCUUGGAAUCUAUGCCUUGGUCGGGACAGUUGCUUGCAAUUUUUCGACUCGAACCAGGAAUUCCUUGUAAUCGUGAUUCAUCACAUCACGAUGAAUACGUCCCUGCCCUUUGUACACACCGCCCGUCGCUCCUACCGAUCGAGGAGUUAGGUGAAUUGUUUUGAUCGAUAAGAUUUGACUAUGGUCAACUCUCGUUGUGAAAUUCUGUGAAUCUGACUGUUUAGAGGAAGGAAAAGUCGUAACA